GCGCCAUUUUUCGGAUAUGAUGUCUUUCGGAGAAGUUGUGGGAGUUGAAUGCAUCUCUUCCGUGAACAGAUUCCAAUUAUUAGGGUUAAUGUUGGUUCUUUGAGGAGUAUCUAUGUGGAGGUGAAGGAGGUUGGCUAGGGAUUCAGCUAGACGGUUGGCUUUGUUUGAUGUCUUGGUUUGAUGGGGAUGGUCAAGAACAGCUUCUUGAUGAUGACAAGCUCGGAUUAGGGAAAACCGGGUUGCACCGGGGGCGGCUUGAGUGGCCGGAAGAUAUGUGUAUAUCAUAGUUGAUAGCGUCAUGGUUGUCUGGAUUUGUUGAUGCUGCUCAAAUUUCCAAGCACAUAGCCGGAAAAUAAAGGUUAAACUCUUGUGGUAGAUGUAUUAGGAUUGACUAUUGAGUGCUCUACCGCUGAAGCUAUGAGCUCCGACGAGUUGGAAAUAGAGCUCAGAAGAUGGAGGAAUUGAGUUUGGAAUGAGAGAAUGAGGCAUUGAGAGAUGAAUUAUAUAAAAGCAAAUUGGAAUUAAACAAUGAAUGUGUGACGAGUGGGACAAAGACUACAACAUGGAAAUAUGCGUAUGUUUGAUUGACCAUGUAUUUUAUUUAGUAUUGUUCUUGUUGAUGGAGACAAGUUCACAUGCGGAAGUAUAAUCUAAUCUGUCAAAUCUCCAGGCCUUUUCAAGCUUAACCUUGCUCAAGGAGAAAUUAUCAAGACUGCCACUCCCACAAUGAUGCAUUGGCUGUGGACACGUAAAUUUCAGUGGCAUUUGGUAAUUGUUUGAAAUAACGAGGGUAAUACAUAUAAAGAUCAUGUAAACUUCAAAUUUAGUGACAACAUUAUUAAACAAAUUAAAAAUAAAAUUAGGCAUGGGAAGAAGUAGGUAAUGACUUUAUUGGACUUUCAACACGUAGUUGUGGAUUCAAUUCUCAAUUUUCACACUUCCUUCUGGCUAAAAAUCCGCGAAUUCUUGUUAAAAACAUGUGAAUUUAUAGUGGAGGUUUCAUGUUGAAGAAGUCAUUAGAAUUAUGACUUAGUUAUAUAUUUUUUUUACUUUAAAGUGAAGACGUUAUGUUAAAUUUUCAUUGUCUCUUAUAUAGAUGAUAAAUUUGAUAUCUAGCUAUGAUCGGUCUGUUAGAUGACUUAACCCAAAUAGCAAAAAUAGAAAUUGUUUUUGCACCAAUAUAAAGUCUUCCUCAUUUAUUUCACUAUUGAGGAAUACAUGAUACUUUUUGGAAUGUAAAUACAUAAAACACUAAAUUGCACCCCAAUUGUUAGUUACUACUAUUGCACCCGGCACUAAUAGUUGAUUUACGAGAUUCUUUUUUCUUUCUAUAAAUUGCUUUCAAAUAAAAAGUAUUCUUCACUAACAUUAGUGGCUUACAGAAAGGGCAAUGUUAUCCACACACUCACUUAUUUUUACUCUCUACCUUAUAUAGAAGUAACCAAACAAACAAAACAAGAAAGCAAAAAGCCAUUUGAUCAAAAAAAAAAAAAGGACAAAAAAAAAUGAUAAAAAAAAAGAAGCAAAAAGGUCAUUCCAAUUUGUCAAAUUUCAAUUUGCUCAAAUCAUCUUCCCAGCAAAGCAGGCGCAGAAAUACUCAAAUCAUUUAGUUGACACGCUAGCAAUAUUUUGAGUAUAGCUUACCGGUUUGAUCCAGGCAAUACCCUACUUUCUUAAUCCAACUAGCAGUCUUUUAAUAAGCAAUAAGAACAAAGUAAACGGGAAAUUUUGGUUUCCGAAUAACUUAAUCCAAUUUAAUCCAAUUAGAAGAGUUCAAUAGGCGAUAACGCAAAGUAAAUUGGAAAUUUUGAUUUCGGUAUAAUAGUCGAUGCAAGUGCUUCCUAUCAACCAGAUAAAGAGGGGGCUGGGCGAGCAAAAAGUGCAAUUGCACAUGUCUCAAAUUUGAAUGAGGCCACUCCAUAAUUUUUGCCAUCUAAAAUGAAUGGAUCUUGUGAAGCAUAAAAAUUAGAGCUAAACAUUGAUAAUGUUGUGAUUGUGUUUGAUAUACCAUUGAAUUCUCAUAGAUUUUGAUUCAUAUCAAAACUUUUGAACUUUUCCACAAAAUGCAGCUUUUGUAUUCUUAAAGUAAUGAGUUCGGUAAAUAAUGAAUAUAUAUAUAUAAUACUAUUAUAUUAUAUAUUCGGUUCGGAUUCGGAAACGGAUACGGAUUGGAGACCUCUAUAACCAUAUCCAAAACCAUAACCGAAUAAUAUUCACGGUUUUUUCCCAUAUCCAAAAUAUACCCGAAUUUUCAUACCCCAAUCCAAUCCAUUCGGGCGGUUAUCCACUAAAACGAUUAGAAUUGCUAUCCCUACUUAACUAUGGUUGUUCAAAUAGGAAGGGAUGGAAAAAAAAAAAAAAAAAAAAAGAGAGAAUCUUACAAAAAAAAGGGAUGUGCUAUCCACACAUCCCUUUUUACUUCUCACACACCCCUUGUUAAUUUUUGUCCGUUGAUCUUCUUCAAUUCAUCCGAUCCGACUGCCGAAAAUAAAAAAGGUGUGGGAGAAGUAAAAAGGAGUGUGUGGAUAUCACACUCCAAAAAAAAAUUUCACUGCUCUACCAACAUUGUGUAAGAUUAGGUUCCAUUCUUUUGGAGUCAAUGACUCUAGUUUGUCCAUAUAAUCCUUUUAUUACUGUGCUGAUGUCAUCCACACUAAGUUUAGGGUGAUUUUGUAUAAAAUCAAUUUAAAAGUUAUGAUAUUAACAAUAGGUCAAUCAAAUUUAUUGGAAUUAUAAGUAGAUCAAUGAAACUUUAAGAUAUAUUAAAACACCUCAAUCAAAUUAAAAUUACAAAUGAUGCCAUUACCAUUUAAAACACCAAACAUUUCCAUCUCUUUCAUUGUAAAUCGCACCUCCCACCACCUUCAACCUCCAUUUUUCUUGCAGUGUCUGUUUCCUGUUCUGUGAUUGUGCAUUUGGAUUAAAAAAGGUUUGGAUUCAUACACUGUUUCUUGUCAUAUGAUUGUGCAUUCGGAUUCAAAUAGGUUUGUGGAUUCAGACACUUACACUUCAUUGUAGUGUCUGUUUCAUGUUCUGUGAGUGUGCAUUGAGAUUCAAAUCGGUUUGUGGAUUCAACACCCCCUUCAAAUCCCCUUGCCCCGCCUCCGAUUCCAAACCCUGGCCGCCCGAAAUCGAGUCCUUCCUCGACAAUUCAAUCUAAGAAAUUCGAAAUUUGACCCCUAAUUCAAUUUUUUGCAAUUUUUCCAGAACAAAAAAAGAAGAUGAAAAUUUAAGAGAGAGAAAGAGAGGGACCUGUGGGCAAAGAAGACGGCGCGGUGGAGGAAGACAACCGGUGAGGCAGUGGAUGCGAUCGACGAGCGACUGGUCAAUUAUCUGGCAGCCGAAUUGGUCGAUGAGCUAGUCGUAUUCGAUUUUCCUGCCACCUUUGGUCGACACCAUCCAUGGAUUCACUACUUGCUCCUCUCUUCCUUCUGUUAUGGUUCUGCCUCUCCCUCUCUUUUCUACAUUGUCACACACACACACACACACACACUCUCUCUCUCUCUCUCUCUCUCUCUCUCUCUCUCUCUCUCUCUCUCUCUCUCUCUCUUUCUCUCUUUCUCUCCACCGUUUGCUCACUGUCUGUAAAAAUCGGCGGUGUCUUCUUCUUCCUUUCUUUUUCUUCGGAUGGUAUUUUGGUGUUUUCAUGAAUUUGAUAAUGACUUAAAGCUUUUGUGGCAUUCAUUAUUAAUCUAUGCCUAAUUAAUAAAAAUAUAUCAUUGAUUAAGUCCAAAACAAAAAUAUGUCAUUGAUAUAUGGCUUAAUAGUAAGUUUUUAUUGACCUUUGGCCAAAAUUAUCUUAAAAUUGAUAUGCAAUAGUGCUAUAUAGUAAAAAUUUUGCCUUAUUAGCAGUUUAAAAUCUCGUUGUGCCCUUUAUAUAAGCGUAAUUUUUUUCUUUCUAAAUUAAAAAUUUUGGAGUGUACAAUGAAAUAUUUGAAGUGCCAAUAACAAUACCAUAAAAACGAUUUUUUUUUUCAAUUUUAUUAUAUAAUAAUGCUAUAUAUUCAAGUCAAAUUUUAAGGUUAGAUUUUUUGAAGCUUUUUUAUUCAGUUUUUUUUUUAAUUGCUUUUGAUAAUUGAGUGAAUGUUAUGUUUGUAGUUUUAUUUAUUUAUUAUUUAAUGGUAUUUGUAAAUCUACAAUCAGUGAGUCAUAAAGUUUGUUUUCAUUUAAGUUAUUACAUGAGAAUCCUCUUGGAUAAGGAGCCUGUUUUAAAAAACUAUUUUAAGGAGGUGUCAUUUAUAAAUUUUGCACAGGCCCCUGAAAUCUUAGAGAUGGCCUUGCAAUCAUACAACUUAAUUUAUAGGAUCCAAAGUUGAUAUUUAUUUGUUAUAAAUCGGAUUACGUCCUUCAGCUCUUCCCAUCCACCAGUCAUUUUUAGGGUUAAGAAACAAAACCAGCUCGUUGUGUGCAUGCCGCAAGCAAGUCCAAUGAUUAAAGGAAUUAAGGAAGAGGCUUGAAUCACAGUAAAAUUAACAAGCACUUGGCUGGAUCGAAAGUCAAGGAAUAGGCGCAGUUUCUGCACAAGAAGUUCGCGUGGUCCGGAAGGAGGCUUGCUGCUAAUGAUCCAGUCCUUCUCAAGAAAGCCCUUUUAGCAUUGCUUGCCAUCUGAUCAUGGGAAGCAGACACAAUCUGGUAGAUUUCCUCAGAACAUCAGCAAAAGCAUGUGCUUUUGAAUGAAGGGGGCCGGCUCUCUUUUUACUCAUGCCAGUAUUAGCCAUGAACUGAUUAGCAGACUGCAAAGUGGUCUUCUUCCCCAUGUAUGUUUCAACACUAAGAAGGCAAGAAAUCGCCGUUUACAUUACACCAGCGUUACUACCAGUGAUCUGGGCAACCCCAUUUCUGUCCUCUUUGUGUGAGCGAGCAUGCAGUCAGUGAGGCAGCUAUCCACGCAUACCAUGCAUAUAACUGCAUUAAAAAAUUAAAGGGAUAUUUUGGAUGCGGUCCUUAAUCCUUAACAUUCCUUGAUUAAAACCUUAAUAGUAUUCAAAGUUUGAUCAAGAUCCUUUGACUUUGUACACCUCAUUAUAUUACUAUUAAUAUUUAUAUUUUUUUAUAGUUUUGACAUUAAUUGUUUGAUAUUUUAUUAAAUUUAUAAUCCUAUAAAUAUAAAAUCCCUCAUUAUAAUACUAUUAGAAAUGGUUACAAUAAAAAAUUCUAAUAUUGAUUGAAUAAAUGGAUAAAAACUAUGUAAAAAUAAGAAAUAAUAAAUGGCAAAAGAAUGUAUCCAUAGUGUUAAAAAAAUUGGUACAUUUCACAUAUAACAAAGUGGUACAUUAAUAAAGAAGAAUGGGUACAUUAGAAAUAAAUUAGGGUACAAAUAAAAGAUUAAAAAUUAUGAAUACAAAUGAAUUUUUAAAAAUAUAGGCGCUAAAAGAAAUUAAUACAUGGGUACAAAAUAAAACUAAAAAGAAAAUACUACAAAUUAAAAAAAAAUGUUGCAAAUUAAAAGUGGGUACAAAGUAAAAAUAUAAAUAUAUGAUACAAAGUUUAGGCAUAAAACAUAAAUAUACCAUAUGUAAUUGUUCUAUCAUUGAUUAAAUAUAUAAUGUCACGUGACGGUAUACAUAUGGGUACAAACACAAAUAAAACUUUAAAAAAUAUGGCACAAAAAGAAACUAAUUUAUGGGUACAAAUUAAAAAUGAAAAGAAAAUUGGUACAAAUUAAAAAAGAUUUACAAAUUAAAAAUAGGUACAAACUAAAAAUAAAAAUAUAUGAUAAAAAAUUUAGCCAUAAAUAUAAAUAUACUAAUUGUAACAUUAUAUAUUUAAAAAUAAAAAUAUUUUAUUAUUCAAAUAAUUAAUGAUGUUAUUAAUACCCAAGGACCUUAAUCAAAAAUUGAAAAUGAAUAGGAUUUUAAUCAAUGGAGUAACAAAAAGAAGGAUGUGAACCUAAUUUUCCGAAAAUUAAAUAUAUUAGGGUCUUUUCGAUUGUGACAAGAACAAUUGGAAGUUUUUCCAAAUAUUUAGUACCAUUGUCUCACAUGCGUAACUGCAAGUUACGCCAAUUAGCAUACUGCCUAUCCAUUUGUGACGAACUGGCUACUAUGGAUAACAAUUAACAAUGCAAAAAAGGAAAAGGUGACGAAGUCCAUAACCAGAGAAAAAUACUAAAAUGUUAGAAUCUCAUAAUUCAGAUAGACGUACUAGUGCAGAAUAGCAAUUAUUUAUUAUUUUAUGAGGCUAGAAGAACGAGAAAGCUGUGUCUAAUAAAAUAUUUGUUAUCCAAGUCUCUUAACAUUUUUCCCAUUUUGUUGAUCCAUAAUUAUGAUUUUGUUAGACAAGUCAUUAUGCUCUUGGAGAUAAUUGCUAGGUUUCAAAAGUUUAAGUUGUCGCAUUGUUAGACAAGUCAUUACACAUGAGUGGUAUUUAGUAUUGUUUGUCUGAUUGUUUAGGGCGUAUUCCGAUGCUGCCUAGUUUGUACGAACUGCACUUUUUUUUAUUUUUUAUUAUAGGUUUUGCCUUUGGGCUAUCAUAGAUUCAUAGCCUUUAUUUGUACUCGUUGCCCCUCUUCGGGUCUUUUAUAAAGUUUUCAUUUGACCAAAAAAAAAUUGUUGUUACCAGGUAUGUCAAUAUAUUAAACUAUCAAAAACAUUGGCAUCAAUGACUAAUUAUUAGUUAUAGAAUGAAAUUGCAACAAUUAGCCGUCCUUUUAUAAUCAUUUUGUUUUCAAAUUUUAUUAAUUUGUUUGAAAAGUUGAAAAUUGAAAACCAUUUUGGGAGUACUUCCAAUUUUCAAAAAAAAAAAAAAAAAAAAGAAAAAGAAAAAAAAAGUGAAAGUUCUUUUUUGACUUUCAGAAAGUAGUCAAAAUAAGGUUUCAAUUUUCAAUUUUUAGUUAAAAAGAAAAAAGAAAACUAAAAGCUGAAAUAGUUUUCAAGCUUAGUUUAGAAAACUUUCUUCAAGUUUGCCCUAUAUGUGUUAAUCUGAUCAAUAUGCAGAACUAGGUUCCCAAUUGAUGCUGUGUCUAGCAAUUUGGCAUAGGGAGUUUAAGCACGUCCCCAAGCCAAUCAAUGACUAUUUCAAGCUCAGUUGCAGCUGGUGAUGCUCUUGCCGAGAAAUCAUGUGCAUUCAGGCGGAAUCUGGCAAGCGUUCCAAUUGGCCUAAGCAUUCCAAAAUUAAAAUGAUGAAGCAUAGAGUAAAACACAGAGAACAUGGAGGAUGCUUAAAAAACAAGGCAAACUUGUAGGCCACUAAUUCAAGUUUUUAAUCAACCGUCAAAAUUUACAUAUGAAUUAAGAACUACAUAAAGAUUUGUGUGUAUUAUCUGAUGAUGAUUGCACCAUCUCUACUUAAUUAAAGAGCAUGAGCUUGUGCUUGUGCUUCUAUUCUAGGUGAAGGGAUGUCUUCGGGGUCUCGUUUCGGUUUAACCCAUCUCCCAUGAGCGUUUCUUACUAACCCCUUGUGUGGCAAUUGGUACCAACAUUGUAGGAUUCUGAGAUCAUCCACCAACAUGUCACAUCCCUUGUUCACCAAGGUAAUAUCCCUCCUAGCAUUUGUCCUAAAAGUAGUUUCUGUACUCAAAAACCCAUCCACAAGAUGAAGGUAGGUCUCGAGGCUAUGAAACCCUGUCAGAUUGAACCCGCCACGCUUGAGAUAAGGCGAAGAACCAAUUUCGAGCUUCAAUUCAGCUCCAACAUGUGUGUAAACCCAAUCCAAUGUGCCCGUAAAGUCAUCAAAUUUUUGAAGACUCUCAUUCAAAACAAGCCCAGGAAUUUUCGGAACCAUGUCUUGUUUAACCACAAUCCUCAAUGUCUUGACUCCCAUUUGGUGUAGCUCUUCCUUGAAGGCAAUGUUUCCAACCCUAGGGGCGCCAAAGGAAAUUACGCUUAUCGGAAGGCCAGGGAGUUUUUCGGCAGCUUCAUAGGCAUUGAGCAAAGCCAAUGCACCUCCCAAGCUAUGCCCUGUGAUUGUUAGGCUCACUUCUUCACCUUUUGCCUGGUACAACUCCACAAGCCAAGUCACUUCUUUCAUGACUUGCUCUGAUGCACUAGACCCGUUGUACCUUGUGGUGUCACUCUUGGCAGUGUAAAUCCCAUGGAACCCAUGUUCCACUUUGGCAUCUCCACCUCCAAUUGGCUCCAAUUUCCUUUGCAUAUCCUCAUACCACUCCGAUGGUGCUACAGUGCCCCACCACGCCAGCACAAUGUCCCUCCUCCCAAUCCUCUUAGUCUCCUCCUCAUCGCUCACGGCAACAUACCCCAUCCAGUUGGAAUGCUUGCUCCAUGUGUCAGCCAAGAGUGACCUUUCCAGCCACUGCGGCAUGUCAAUGUGUGACAUUGCAUAAAUGUACUUGCUAACAUUGUAGCCACUUUUGUCUAGACCCAACACAUCAAAGAGCUUGUUUUUGUUGUACCUGCAGCUCCCGCAGUACUCGGAGAAGGAAUCGAAAUCGAAAGCGUCAUACGUUGCUUGUGCAAACUCACCAUAUUUGACAAUCUCUCUUCUUAGCCAAGGGUUCAGAGGGUCCAAAAGACCCUCCCAAUCAUUUGACCCGUGGAUUUCGCGUCAUUUUUCGGACAUGAUGUCUUUCGGAGAAGUUGUGGGAGUUGAAUGCAUCUCUUCUAUGAGGAGAUUCCAAUUAUUAGGGUUAAUGUUGUUUCUUUGAGGAAUAUCUAUGUGGAGGUGAAGGGGGUUGGCAAAGGAUUUAGCUAGACGGUUGGCUUUGUUUGAUGUCUUGGUUUGAUGGGGAUGAUCAAAAUCAGCUUCUUGAUGAUGACUAGCUCGGAUUUGGGAAAACCGGGUUGCACUGGGAGUGGCUUGAGAGGCCGGAAGAUGGGUGUAAAUCAUAGUUGAUAGCGCUAUGGUUGCCUCAAUCUGUUGAUGCUGCUCAAAUUUCUAAACACACUGCUGGAAAAUAGGGUCGAACACUAAUAGGAUGUAUUAAGAUUGAGUGUUUUACCACUUAAGCUAUAAACACCGACAAGUUGAAAAUAGAGCUCAGAAGAUGGAGGAAUUGAGUUUCGAAAUUAGAGAAGUGGAAAAGACGGUGAACUAAUAUUGGAAAAUGUUCAUUUGUUUGAUUGACCAUUCGUAUUUUAUUUAGGCUUGUUCUUGUUGAUUGAGACAAAUCUCCAAACCUCUUCAAGUUUAGCCUUGCUCAACUUGAAAUUAUCAAGAUUGUCACUCCCAAAACGAUGUUCUGGCAUUUGGUAAUUGUUUUAAAUAAGUAAGGUAAUAUAUAUGCAGAUCAUUUAACCUUCAAAUUUAGGGACAACAUCAUUAAACAAAGUAAAAACAACAUUAGGUACGGGGAGAUAUACGUAAGGACCAUUUUUGACGUUCAACACGUAUGGUGGAAUCAGUUCUCAGUUUUCACACUUCCUUUGCACCCCUAAACACGCGAAUUCUUGUUAAAAACAUUCUAAAGUGGAGGUGUCAUGUCAAAUAUGAUGCUAUAACUACGAUUUAGUGAUAUGUUUUUACACAUUAAAAUGGAGGCAUCAUGUUAAAGUUUAGUGGUCUCAUAUAUAGAUGACAAGUUUGAUAUCUAUAGCUAGCUGUGAUUGGUCUAUUAGAUGACCUAACCCAAUUAACAAAUAUAAAAAGAAAAAUUUUAUUCUGACCCAUUUAUCAUUUUUUUACUACCAACUUAUCAUUUUUAUCUUAAAAUUCCUUAUGUGCCCAACAAUUCCCUUUCUACGCCCAAAAUGAAAAAGAACAAAAAUAAAAAAUAAAAAAAAAUUCUAGCAAUAGGAAACUCUGACCACCUCAUCUCUCCAAAUCCCAACCAUGUCCAACUUCUACCCCGCUCCGCCACCUCCCCUACCACCCACAAUGAAAACCCAAAAGUCUUAGCCACACAACAACUUCUUCCACGCAGUCCUAACAUGUAUGUCUGAAUUUUGUUGAAACUGUCGACUAGUCGAAUUUAUUUGUAUUAGACCAUUGAUUGUACGAUAUAUGUGUAGAAUCACAAUUUUAAUAUUAUCAUGAAUUUAAAAAAAAAAAACAUUGUGAUGACAUUCUUUUGGGUUUUUUUUAAAGGUGGGUUGUUAGGGGAUAAGGAUUGUUUAUACCAUACUUGACCAAUCCGGAAACUACCGAGCACGGGUCAACGUUAUACCGUCAAGGACCCAGAAGAGUUUCCCUCCAACCAGGAGGCCAAUCACAGUGCGACACGUGUCGACAUCAGAAGCCAAUCAUAGCGCGACACGUGUCAACAUCAUAAGCCAAUCAUAACACGACACAUGUCAAUGUCAGAACAAAGCUAGAAACUCUCUUCUAUAAAAGGAGAUCAUUCUCUCACAAUAUGGCUUAAUGUCAUUUGUACUAAAUCAUUCACCAGUACUCACUAAAGGAGAACUUGAACCUAUGUACUUGUGUAAACCCUUCAUAAUUAAUGAGAACUCAUCUACUCCGUGGACGUAGCCAAUUUGGGUGAAUCACGUACAACUUGUGUUUGCUUCCCUGUCUCUAUCCAUUUACAUACUUAUCCACACUAGUGACCGGAGCAAUCUAGUGAAGGUCACAAACUUGACAUUUUCUGUUGUACCAAAGUCCUCACUGAUUUUGUGCAUCAACAUUUGGCGCCGUCUGUGGGAAUCGCACUUAUUCCUACUUUCUUCAGCUUUGUUAAGCUGGUUUCCACCAUUCGUACACUCUUUUUUGACCAGGUAUCCCUCUUCAACAUAGGGAUGCUCACUCCCUAGAACAAAAGAAGUUUGCUCUUCAGGCUAAAGUCGAUGAGCUGGAGGCUUAGAACAACAAGAUAGCGAUGAAGAAUGAGAUAUUCCAAGAGCAGUAUUAGAAGGUCUUCGAGAUGCUCCACGAGGCUAUAUAUACUAAAACACACGAGCUCAUCACCCAUGUGGAAGUCAACCAUCAACUGGGUGCCCUCCAACAUGGAGGGUCAUUUUCCCUUGACAUGGGUAUUCCUGUUGAGGAGCGAGCUACUCAUCGAAAUGGCGACUAACAUGAGACUUCUCUCAACCCAGCUGCUUCGACCUGAAGCAGGAAGAGUGGAGGAAUGCACCUCCUUACAGAAGGAGUGGAAGGAUCGAAAGCCGUCUUUUGCGACUGUCGAGACUUCCUAAAGCAACGUCGAGACAAUCUCAUCCAUGUAAGCUUGAAGAUCAAUGACCCAAGGGUCUCUGAAAGACUCGGUCUCCUCCCAUGUCCCAGGUUGACUACCAAUUUGGGGAAGGGGCAACAAGUCUUAGAGAAACACGAAGGUAUAGAAGACUCAGAGAUGUUCCGACAGACAAACCUUGGAAGUCAGUACAGUGAGUCCAGGGAAAAAUCACAUGCUCUUGAUCAAACCUUCCUAUUUCCAAAAGGAGAUGGAGAUUUACGAAAGAAAGUUCCAGUGGUACAUGACUCCACUCAGGACCCUCUUAUCCUACAAGUUAAGAUACCUGAUUGGAACCAACCUAGGCCUGGCCUUCUUACAAGGAGGAUCCUCGACACCCCUUUUAAGAAAAAACAAAUCAGAAGCUUGGCUUACAACUCUAUACUGGACAGGAGGACCCGAUUGCACACCUUAACCUCUUUGAGUCCACCAUGGCAUACCAGAUGCACACCGACGAAGAGCAAUGUCUUCUCUUCCCCUCCACCCUCUUUGGUGGAGCUCUAACUGGUAUUGCCGUCUUCCACCUGAGACAGUAGACUCAUUUGAGGAAUUGAAUAAACUGUUUGUUUCUCAACACAUUUUCCAGACCGAUCGCUUACAUUCUACAGAUGACUUGUACACUAUUUGCCAGAAGCCAGACGAGUCAUUACGUAUGUAUGCUGGCCGCUUCAGCCAUGAGUAUUCCCGUUAUGCCGAGACAGACGACAAGACUGCCCUCAAAGCCUUCACGGCAGGCCUACAUGACUGUUUCUUCAAAUACAUGAUCAAUGCUAACACUUGGAAGACUUACUUUGAGGUGAUGGCGCAAGCUUAUAACCAUUCCUCUGCCGAGGCAAAGACAUACUAAGAGAAACCCCCAUCAACCAUCCCCUAUCAACAAGUGGGGAGGGGAAGCCAGACCUAUCCAAAUGAGAAGACCUCAACCUUCAUCAAUGGAGGGCAACUACAAUGCUCAAAAGCUUCACACACUCUUGAUCAAAAUAGUCUGAAGCAAAAUCAAUUUAUGGUGCCAACAAAAGCUUCAACUCCAAAGCUUCACCUACAAAAGCUUUACCUACAAAGCUUCAACUCCAAAUCUUCACCUACAAAAGCCUCAACUCCAAAGCCUCACCUACAAAGCUUCAAGCUUCAACACAAAAGCUUCACCUACAAAGCUUCAACACAAAAGCUUCACCUACAAAGCUUCAACUCUAAAGCUUCACCUACAAAGUUUCAACACAAAAACUUCACCUACAAAGCUUCAACUCCAAAGCUUCACCUACAAAAGCUUCAGCUCCAAAGCUUCACCUACAAAAGCUUCACCUACAAAGCUUCAACACAAAAGCUUCACCUACAAAGCUUUAACACAAAAGCUUCACCUACAAAGCUUCAACUACAAAUGCUAAAAGCUUCACACACUCUUGAUCAAGAUAGUGUGAAGCAAUAUCAAUUCAUGGUACCCAACAAAGCUUCAACCUCAAAACUUCACCUAUAAAGCUUAAUAUAUAAAUAUAUAUAUAUAUAUAUAUAUAUAUAUAUAUAUAUAUAUAUUCGGAAAUUCGAAAAUUCAAAAAUUCAAAAAUUCAAAAAUUAAAUAAAAAUAAAAAUAAAAAGGCCUAGGCCUCAUCUUCUUUGGGCCUAACAACUUUCAUAACAAAUAUAUAUGAAAGAGGAGUUUUAGGCUACCACUUAGAAAGGAAAACAGUGAAGUUUUGUUACUUUGGAAACUUGGCUACUAGCAAGACACCUUAUUCGUCAACUCCUUCGACCAAAGACUUGGGGGAUUCCUACCAUAUGCUACUACACAUCGGUACUUGGAAGGUUCACGACUACUCAGUGACUUGGAUCUUUCAAGUCUCCAACCGAGAAGUUUUCCUCACUCGGGAAAUUAAUGGAGCACUAUCUCAACCUACAUGCUUCACUCAUAAAGCUUCAACAUACAAGCUUUAACAAAAGAAAAAAUUCAAAGAAUUUAGUGAAGAAGGCUUUGGCGUAUUUAACACAAUACGUUGAAAUGAAGCAAAACUUAUUUAUUGAUAUCUCCGAUAAGUUACAAAUAUGUACAUAUACAUGAAUCAAAAUAAACAAAUAAGAGGGAGUUUUCACAAAGGUUGCUUAGGAGAAGUCUCAGUAGUCGGCAGAGCCACAGAAAGAGAAUGCACCGGAGGGUGAUCAUUCGGAGCCUCAGUACUGGGCAGAACCCCAGAAGGAAAAGGCACCAGAGGCUGAUCAUUUGGAGCUUCAUUACGCGGUACAGCCCCAGAAGACGAAGGCAAUAAAUGCCUUUGGAACAAACCCACAAACCUCUGAUGAUCAAGUAAAAUCUGACCAUCAGAUUCCUGCAGUUGGUCAAGCUUUCUCUUUAUGUUUGUAGCAUAGUCAUGUGCGAGCCUAAGCAACUAUUUAUUAUCAUGCUUGAGCCCUCUAAUCUCCUGUUUGAGACUUAUCACUUUAGCCGCCAAUGAUUCAACUUGGCAGGUUCGAGCAAAUAGGCGUUGGGCCAUAUUAGACACAGAACCUACACACCGAACACUGAGAGCCAGAGAAUCCUUAACAGCCAACUCAUCAAACCGUUUGUAAAGUAGUCUGUUAUCUUUGGGAGUAAGAAGGUUCCUAGCCACCACCGCAGCGGUCAUAUCAUUCUUCAUCACAGAGUCCCCAACGGUAAGAGGACCAGUAAGGGAUAAGAAGGGUGGGCGCCAUAUGUUGUUUUGAGGAGGCCUGCCUUUUCACCAAAGUUCAAGUCAAAACGACGGUUGGAUGAGCUAGACAUUUUCAGAAAUGAUGAAGGAGAAAUGAGGUCCAAUAAAUCUCUGAAGUACGAAAAUAAGGGGAAAAUUCCUACAAGCAAUAACUCUCUGAACGUACUUCUUGCACACAAUGGGUGCCCCUAUAAAAGAAAGGGCAGUAUGGCCGUUUGUUCAAAAAUCUUAGAGGCACCACUCUCCGGGUUUCGAGAAGCAGAUUUUCCUGAGUAAAUAUGUUGACAAUCCCCACACGCAACAUCAGCUCAUUGGGUACCACAGAUAACUUUGCCAAAGAUCUCUGAUAAAGUUUAGAUACAUAAAUUUUGAAGGUCUAGCUACCCUACCAUUACCCACAAAGGUAAAGGAACAACACCACUGCUUGAUAACUGGAAAGUCCCUAUAUGUGUCAGCCUUUGUGCUCCGUGGCAAGGAAGACUGGCAAAAAUGCCCAACCUUUACUCACAUCGAGAAAACACUCCCAACAGGAUUACUUGCUCAAAAAUCAGAGAGGCACCGCUCUCCGAAUCUCGAGACCCAGACUCCCACCAGGAUUGCUUUCUAAAAAAUCGAAGAGGCACCGCUAUCUGAAUCUCGAAAGCCAGACUCGCACCAGGAUUAUUUUCUCAAAAAUCGAAGAGGCACCGUUAUCCGAAUCUCGAAAGCCAAACUUACAACAUGAUUUCUUUCUCAAAAAUUGAAGAGGCACUGCUCUCUAAAUCUCGAGAGCCAGAUCCCUAAUAGGAUUGCUUGUUCAAAAAUCGAAGAGGCAACGCUCUCCGAAUCUCAAAAGCCAGAUCCCUAACAAGAUUGCUUGUUCGAAAACCGAAGAGACACCGCUCUCCGAACUUCGAGAGCCAGAUUUCCUUGGAUAAAAUUUGUCUUCAAUCUUCACACGCAACAUUAGCUUUUCAGAUACCACAUACCAUUUUUUCAAAGUACUCUGACAAAGUUAAAACAUGUGAAUCUUGUAGCUCCCAUUACAUUGCUAUGACCGAUAAGGGUAAAGGAAUAACGUUACUACUCGCUGUUGGGACAAUUCUUAUAUAUGUCAACCUUCAUCAUCCACAGCCAGGCAGACCUGCAAAUAAAUAAAAAAUGCUCAACUUUUCUUCACAUCCGAGAGGGCACUCUCAGUAAAGUCUCUUGAAAUACUCAGCUUUUUUUCCCCUCGAUAAUACCUCUGCAAACAAGCCAUACCAAAGCAAGAGUAUCUCAUAUCAUCAGGGUUAAAAGCAAGAGUAUCCCAUAUCAUGCUUUUUCCAUAUCUUUUCUUUUGCCCAUGAUCUUACCUGCAAGACAAGGAGAAAGAAAUCAAUCAGUCGAAACUUGAAAUCAAACUUCCGAUCUGGAACUGAUUGCCCAGAACCUUUGCCCGGUUGCUCACCUAGCAUUGCUCUUGAGUACUCAUCUUCAAUUGUUGUCAAGGUUGCGAAUUCUUUCGACAAAUACCUCAGAACAGUUGAUACAAUAUUGGCUCUUUACACUGAAGCUACCAAGUAUGGAUGAGUCGCUGAAAAUAGUACUCUGAAGGAUCAUUCAAAGGCAAAGGUUGCGCACAACUUCUGCAAUGCAAAAGAUUGAAGCAGAAGGUUCAACAAUGAGCUGGAACAGAUCAUUAUAGCACAACGCCCUCCCUGUAGAACCGCAUAAUCUAGACGGAUGAGUCUAAGUCAAAUCCAAGCUCCACAUCAUUGCCCUAUCCAAAUAGCUCGAUAAGCUUCAACAACCUUUCGCUGACACCGUCACCAAAUAACACAGCCUCGCCAUGCCACAUCCACUACUUUGUCAACAGCAAAAGUAUCUCAUAUCAUCAGGGUCGAACGUACUCUAGAUUUGAUAGACUUGUUUUGACCCUCAAAUUCUUGAGUUGGCCUUAUACUUUAGAGGAAACUAAAAAACCCUCCAACCCAGUUCAAGAAUAAGACUGUGGAAAGUUACUUAUUCAAAAGCAAAAGUAUCUCAUAUCAUAUAUUCUCAUUUUUCUUCUCUUUAUCUUUCUUGCUGCCUGCGAGAUAGGGAGAAUGAGAACAAUCAGCCGGAACUCGAAAUCAAACUUCUGUUUUGGGACUAAUUGCUUGGGACUUUGAUUGCUUACCUUGUCUGUCACCUCCUUCUGCAGAUCACUUUGCUCAGAGACUUGGGGGACUCCUACUAUAAGGUUUGUAUCGCAUUUGACCAAGCCCGAAACUACAAGUAGCUUCAAGUGAAAUUGAUACAUUACCUUGUGCAUCUCCAUUUGUUAAAGAUACCACCCCUUAAUGGAGGAAAAAUACUUCCAGAGAAGAUGCCACAUCUACCUAUGAGACAGAUAAGGCAAGUGAAAACAAUACCACACUUCGGUACUUAGAAGUUUUGUGAUUAUUCAGUGGUUUGGAUCUUGCAAGUCCUCAACCGAGGAGCUUCCUUCACUCGGGAACUUAGGAGAGCACUGUUUGUACCAUACUUGACCAAUCCCAAAACUAUCGAGCACCAAUCAACGUUAUACCGUCAAGGACCCAGAAGAGUUUCCCUCCAACCAGGAGGCUAAUCACAGCGCGACACGUGUCGACAUCAGAAGCCAAUCAUAGCACGACACGUGUCAACAUCAGAAGCCAAUCACAACAUGACACGUGUCAAUGUCAGAACAAAACUAGAAACUCUCUUCUAUAAAAGGAGAUCAUUCUCUCACAAUAUGGCCUAAUGUCAUGACGCAAUCCUCUUCCUCAAAUUAUUUCACUAUUGAGGAAUACAUAAUACUUUUUGGGAGUGUAAAUUAGGGGUGCAACUCGGGCUAGUUGGGCAGGUUGGAAGGUCAACCCAAUCAUAACCCAACUUUUACAAUUAAGGCCCGGGUUCGGGUUGGGUUGCAUUCGGGUUCAUUUGGGUUCAGAUUUAAUUGGGUUAAGGUUUACUUGGGUUGCCCAACUUUUUCAAGUUUAAUCUUGUAACAACUUAGUUUUCAAGAAUUCCUAAAAAAAUAAGCCAAGUAAAACGGAAUUUUUUUAUUUCGAUAUAAUAAUCCAUGCAAGUGCUUCCUAUCAACCAAACAACUUAAUUUAUAGGAUCAAAAUUUGAUAUGUCUUUGUAAUAAACCGGAUUAUCCAACAAUCAUUUUUAGGGUUAAGAAACAAAACCAGCUCUUUGUAUGCAUGCCGCAAGUCCGUCCAACGAUUAAAAGAUGAGGCUUGAAUCCCAGUAAAAUUAAUAAGAACUUAGCUGGCUUGAAAGUCAAGGAAUCGACGCAGUUUUGGAGAAUGCUUAAAAAACAAGGCAAACAUUCAAGUUCUUAAUCAACUGUCAAACAUUACAUGUUAAUUAAGCACUACAUAAAGAUUCAAGUAUAUCUGAUGAUGGCUUCAUCAUCUUUGAUUGAAGAGCAGGAGCUUGCACUUGUGCUUCUCUUGUAGGUGAAGGUAUGUCUUAGGGGUCUCAUUUCGGUUUAACCCAUGUCCCAUAAUCGUUUCUUACUAACCCUUUAUGUGGCAAUUGGUACCAACAUUGUGGAAUUCUAAGAUCAUCUACCAACAUGUCACAUCCCUUGUUCACCAAGGCAAUAUCCCUCCUAGCAUUUGACCUAAAAGUAGUUUCUAUACUAAAAAAACCCAUCCACAAGAUAAAGGUAGGUCUAGAGGCUAUGAAACCCUUGCAGAUUGAACCCGCCACGCUUGAGAUAAGGCGAAGAACCAACUUCGAACUUCAAUUCAGCUCCAAUAUGUGUGUAAACCCAAUCCAAUGUGCCCGUAAUGUCAUCAAACAUCUGAAGACUUUCAUUCAAAACAAGGCCUGGCAUUUUUGGAACCAUGUCUUGUUUAACCACAACUCUUAAUGUCUUAACUCCCAUUUGAUGUAGCUCUUCCUUGAAGGCAUUGUUUCCCACCCUAGGGGCACCAAAGGAAAUUACGUUUAUCAGAAGGCCAGAGAGUUUUUCGGCAGCUUCAUAGCCACUUCUUUCAUGACUUGCUCUGAUGCACUAAACCUAUUGUACCUUGUGGUUUCACUCUUGGCAGUGUAAAUCCUAUGUAACCUAUGUUCCACUUUGGCAUCUCCACUCCCAAUUGGCUCCAAUUUCCUUUGCAUAUCCUCAUACCACUCCGAUGGCAUCACGGUCCCCCGCCACGCCACCACAAUGUCCUUCUUCCCAAUCCUUCUAAUCUCAUCCCUCCCAAUCCUUCUAAUCUCCUCCUCAUUGCUCACUGCAACAUACCUCAUCCAGUUGGAAUGCUUGCUCCAUGUGUCAGCCAAGUGUGACCUCUCCAACCACUGUGGCAUGUCGAUGUGUGACAUUGCAUAAAUGUACUUGCUAACAUUGUAGCCAUUUUUGUCUAGACCCAACACAUCAAAAAGCUUGUUUUUGUUGUACCUGCAACUCCUGCAGUAGUUGGAGAAUGAAUUAAAAUCGAAAGCGUUAUACGUUGCUUGUGUAAACUCACCAUAUUUGACAAUCUCCCUUCUUAGCCAAGGGUGGAUAGUGUUCAAAAGACCAUCCCAAUCAUUGGACCCGUGGAUUUCGCACCAUUUUUCGGAUAUGAUGUCUUUCGAAGAAGUUGUGAGAGUUGAAUGCAUCUCUUCUGUGUUAGAAUUCCUCUGUCCUACAUCAGCCAGAAGGCUUGAGAACAAGCCCUUUAAAUAGAAUUACCUCACUCUAACUAAUACCGAGGCCUUUUGUAUUAAAACCUCACACCUGACGAAUUGAGCAGGUGGCCAAGUGGGGACAAUAUCAGUGUUGUUGGAGUGAGCCAAGGGACGGACCCAUACAUCCACGUGAAUGGGUGGGUCCCCAUUGGCCCCGCGCGAACGAGUGAGCCCCGACUUGGCUCCACGUAGGAGAUGCCACGUGAAUGAGUGGGUCCACAUUAGCCCCGCGCGAACGGGUGAGCCCCGACUUGGCUCCACGUGGUUGUCGAUAUGUGGAACUCCAUGUGUGACACAUAAAAUGGGGUCUCACAUGCGAGGGAGUGUUAGAAUUUUUGUCCCACAUGGCCGGAAGGCUUGAGAACAAGCCUUUUAAAUAGAAUUACCCUACACUACCUAAUACCGAGGUCUUUUGUAUUAAAACCCCACACCUGACAAAUUGAGCAGGUGGCCAAGUGGGGACAGUAUCGGUAUUGUUGGAGUGGGCCUAUGGCCCGUCUACCUGAAAUUUAAGAUUUUGUGAACAAAUUCCAAUUAUUAGGGUUAAUGUUGGUUCUUUGAGGAGUAUCUAUGUGGAGGUGAAGAAGGUUGGCUAGGGAUUCAGCUAGACGGUUGGCCAAGAACAUCUUCUUGAUGAACACUAGCUCGGAUUAGGGAAAACCGGGUUGCACUGGGGGCGGCUUGAGUGGCCGAAAGAUGUGUGUACACCAUAGUUGAUAGCGCCAUGGUUAUCUGGAUUUGUUGAUGCUGCUCAAAUUUCCAAGCACACAGUCGGAAAGUAGUUGUUAAACUCUUGUAAUAGAUGUAUUAGGAUUGACUAUUGAGUGCUCUACCGCUGAAGCUAUGAGCUCCGACGAGUUGGGAAUAGAGCUCAGAAGAUGGAGGAAUUGAGUUUGGAAAUGAGAGAAUGAGGAAUUGUGGGAUGACUUAUACACAAGCAAAUUGUGGAAUUAAACAAUGAAUGUGUCACGCGUGGGACAAAGACUACAACAUGGAAAUAUGCGUACGUUUGAUUGACCAUAGGUAUUUUAUUUAGAAUUGUUCUUGUUUAUGGAGACAAGUUCACUUGCGGGGAGUAUAAUCUAAUCUGUCAAAUCUCCAAGCCUCUUCUAGCUUAACCUUGCUCAAGAAGAAAUUAUCAAGACUGCCACUCCCACAAUGAUGCAUUGGCUGUAGUCUGUACACACGUAAAUUUCAGUGGCAUUUGGUAAUUGUUUGAAAUAACGAGGGUAAUAUGUAUGCAGAUCAUGUAAACUUCAAAUUUAGGGACAACAUUAUUAAACAAAUUAAAAAUAAAAUUAGGCAUGGAGAAGAAGUAGGUAAUGACUUUAUUGGACUUUCAACACGUAGUGGUGGAUUCAAUUCUCAAUUUUCACACUUCCUUCUUGCUAAAAACCUGCAAAUUUUUGUUAAAAACAUGUGAAUUUAAAGUGGAGGUUUCAUGUUAAAGAAGCCGUUAGAAUUACGAUUUAGUGAUAUAUUUUUUUUUACUUUAAAAUGAAGGUGUCAUGUUAAAUUUUUAUUGUCUCAUAUAUAGAUGGCAAAUUUGAUAUCUAGCUAUGAUUGGUUUGUUAGAUGACUUAACCCAAAUAUCAAAAAUAGAAAUUGUUCUUGCACCAAUAUGAAGUCUUCCUCAUUAUUUCACUAUUGAGGAAUACAUGAUAUUUUUUGGGAUGUAAAUACAUAAAACACUAAAUUGCACCCAAUUGUUAGUUACUACUAUUGCACCCGGCACUAAAAGUUAAUUUGCGAGAUUCUUUUUUCUUUCUAUAGUAUGCUUUCAAAUAAAAAGUAAUUUUCACUAACAUUAGUGGUUUGCAGAAUGGGCAGUACUAUCCACACACCUAUUUUUAUUAUCAUAUCUCUCAAAAUUUUCAACAGUCAGAUCAAAUAAAUUGAAGAAAACUAAGAAACAAAAAUGAAUAAAAGUGUAAAUAAUAAUAAUAAAAAAAAAUAUGUGAAUAGCACUACCUUAUAAAAGUACAACCAAACAAACAAAACAAGAAAGUAAAAAGCCAUUUGACCAAAUAAAAAAUGAAGAAAAAAAGUCAUUCCAAUUUGUGAACUUUCAAUUUGCUCAAAUCAUCAUCCCAACAAAGCAGGCGCAGAAAGGAAAGAGAUCCUCUCUGGAUCUCUUUCACCAAAACUCAUAGAUUAAGUGAUUCGGAUUCUUAAAAUUUGAUCCAAUGGCCAAAAAGAGAUGCCCCUUUUAAAAGUUAUAAUAAUUUUAACCGUUGGAUCAAAUUUUAAGGACCCGGAUCACUUGAUUCGUGAACUUUGGUAGAAGAGAUCCGAAAAUGAUAUCUUCCGUGCAGAAAUACUCAAAUCAUUUAGUUGACACGUUAGCAAUAUUUUGAGUAAAGCUUACCGGUUUGAUCCAGGCAAUACCCUAAUUUCUUAAUCCAACCAGCAAUCUUUUUAUAAGCAAUAAGAACAAAGUAAACGGCAAAUUUUGGUUUCCGAAUAACUUAAUCCAAUUUAAUCCAACUAGAAGAGUUCAAUAGGCGAUAACGCAAAGUAAAUUGGAAAUUUUGAUUUUGGUAUAAUAGUCGAUGCAAGUGCUUCCAAUCAACCAUAUAAAGAGGGGGCUGGGAGAGCGAAAAGUGGAAUCGCUUCCUAUCAACCAUAGAAAGAGGGGUUUGGAAGAGCGAAAGUUGCAAUCGCACAUACCCCAAAUUUGAAUGAGCCCCUCAUAAUUUUUGCCAUUUAAAUUUAUAUGCAAUAGUGCUAUACAUUAAAAAUUUUGCCUUAAUAGCACUUUAAAAUCUCGUUAUGCACUCUUUAUAAGCGUAAUUUUUUUUUCUUUCUAAGUUUAAAAAUUUAGAGUGUACAAUGAAAUAUUUGAAGUGCCAAUAACAAUACCAUAAAAAUGAUUUUUUUUUAAUUUUAUUAUAUAAUAAUGCUAUAUAUUCAAGUCAAAUUUUAAAGUUAGAGUUUUUGAAGCUUUUUUAUUCAGUUUUUUUAAAUUAAACUACUUUUGAUUAUUUAGUGAAUGUUAUGUUUAUAGUUUUUUUUUAUUUAUUUAUUAUUUAAUGGUAUUUGUAAAUUUUCAAUCAGUGAGUCAUAAAAUUUGUUUUGAUUUAAGUUAUUACAUAAGGAUCCCUUCGGAUAAGGAGCAUAAUUUAAAAAACUAUCUUAAGGAGGUGUCAUUUAUAAAUUUCGAACAAGUCCCCGAAAUAUCAAAGAUGGCCUUGCAAUCAUACAACUAAAUUUAUAGGAUCCAAAGUUGAUAUUUAUUUGUUAUAAAUCGGAUUACAUCCUUCAGCUCAUCCCAUCCACCAGUCAUAUUUAGGGUUAAGAAACAAAACCAGCUCUUUGUGCAUGCCGCAAGCAAGUCCAAUGAUUAAAGGAAUUAAGGAAGAGGCUUGAAUCACAGUAAAAUUAACAAGCACUUAGCUGGAUCGAAAGUCAAGGAAUAGGCAGUUUCUGCACAAGAAGUUCGCGUGGUCCGGAAGGAGGCUUGCUGCUAAUGAUCCAUCCCUUCUUAAUGGCUCAAGUUGCACGGGCUCAUCGGUGGCGUCAUGAGCACAAUAUAUACGUGUUCUUGAAUUGUUCAUCGUGUCUGGCUCAUAUUCAUUAACGGUUUCAUAAUCGUACUCAUAUUCCAUAAUCAUGUUGUGAAGAAUGAUGCACGUCAUCAUGAUGGAUCGAAGCGACACUACAUCAAACAAUCUGGCAGCACCCCUGACGAUCGCCCAGCGAGCUUGAAGGAUACCGAAACAACGCUUCACAUCCUUCCUGCACUCCUCUUGACAUCUUGCAAAGUGUUUUUCCUUUGCACUUCGCGGACGUGGCACUGUUUUGACAAAUGUUGACCACCUUGGGUAAAUGCCGUCAGCUAGGUAGUAUGGCCCGUCGUACAUACGUUCAUUGACCUCAUACAUGACUUUUGGUGUAUUUCCUUGCAGGACAUCGUUGAACACUGGGGAUUGGGCAAGGACGUUGAGGUCAUUUUGAGCUCCCGGAACCCCAAAAAAAGCGUGCCAAAUCUAUGUAUCAAAAGAUGCCACCGCCUCCAAAAUGAUACAUUUUGCUCAUUUUCUGUCUCCAUAAGCGCCUUGCCAUGCACUUGGACAGUUUUCCACGUCCAAUGCAUACAAUCAAUGCUCUCAAUCAUCCCAGGCAAACCUCGUAUCUCGGCCUUCUUCAGAAGCCUUUCCAAGUCUAUGUGAGUAGGUUUCUGGAGGUACUCUGCGGUGUAGAUAGAUUCGAUAGCUCCGCAAAACCUCAUCAGGGACUCAAGAAUAGUUAAUUUCCUCAUCCUCGCUAUCUCAUCCACUUGGUCUGCAGAUGCUCCAUACGCAAGCAUCCGCAGCGCAGCAGUAAUUUUUUGCUCGGGAAGGUGACCCAUAGCACCACAAACAUCCUUCUUUUACACAAAGUAAGAAUCAUGGUUGCAAACAGCAAUCAUGAUUUUGUUGAACAAAUGUCGUUCCAUUCUAAAACGAUGUCUGAAGUACGUAUCAGGAAAUGCACUAUUAUGGACAAAAUAAUCGUCCAACAACUCCUCAGCUCAUUGUUGCAUGCUUCUAUCAAGGUUUCCGGAAUGGGUGGGCCUGCAUAUCUGAGCCACAGCUUGGAUGACUCGACGGGAAUGUGAGUCUCUAGCCAUUCUUACUUCGUCAUCUCUCAUUCUCCGCUCCUCAUCCUCUUCCUUCUCAUUUUGGGCUAUAUAGAGAUUGAACAUUCCUUCAGAUUGGUAAAACAAUUAUUCCUCUUCUUGAUCGAUUUCCCACAUCAUGCUUGAAGAAGAAGACAUUGUAAGUAAAAACUAUGAAUAAUGAUACAGAUUUUGAUUUGAUGAAGAAUGAAGCAGAAACUAUGAAUAAUGAUAGAGAUAUUGAGAAAAUUGGUGUGAUAUUUAAAAGGAUGGAUGAUGGAUUAUAUGGAGGAUUCUAAAAUGAUUAGGUUGUAGAUAGUGUCACGUGGCAUGCCGUCAUUCGUUAAAAAUCUGAUCGAAAUCUAUCCUAAAAAUUCUAAAAAGAUAACGACACGUGGCACGAUGGCAUUGGAUAAAAAUCUUAUCGAAAUCCAUCACCAAUAAUUAUCUUUUCGGAUAAUGACAUGUGUCGCAACGAGAACGAUUUAAAAUCUGAUCGAAAUCUAUCAUCAAAGAUUAUGAAAAGAGAACGACACGUGGCACGAUGACAUUGGAUAAAAAUUUUAUCGAAAUCUAUGACCAAUAAUAGUCGUUUUAGGUAAAUGACAUGUGGCGCAACGAAAACGAUUUAAAAUAUCUUAUCUGAAAUUACAAAAAAAAUUAUUUAGUAUUAUUUUGUAAAAAAAAAAAUUAAUAAAUAUUUUAUUGCCUAUUGCCAAGGCUAUUCAAGUGCAAGGUAGAGAUGCAAAAGGCAGUUACUGUUCAUUAUGACAGUUACUGUUUAUAAGGUGGAUUGAAUAGUGGAUUGCCUGAGAUAAAAGCUCCAAGAGUGAAGUUGCUCUUACAGCAGCGUUACUACCAGUGAUCUGGGCAACCCCAUUUCUGUCCACUUUGUGUGAGCGAGCAUGCAGUCAGUGAGGCAGCUGUCCACGCACACCAUGCAUAUAACUGCAUUAAAAAAAUAAAUAUAUUAGGGUUUUUUCGAUUGUGACAAAAACAAUUGGAAGUUAUUCCAAAUAUUUAGUACCAUUCUCUCACAUGCAUAACUGCUAGUUAACGCCGAUUAGGAUACUGACUAUCCAUUUGUGACGAACUGGCUCUUAUAGAUAACAAUUAACAAUGCCAAAAAGGAAAAGGUGACAAAGUCCACAACCAGAGAACAAUACUAAAAUGUUAGAAUUUCAGAAUUCAGAUAGAAGUACUAGUGCAGAAUGGCAACUAUUUAUUAUUUUAUGGGGCUAGAAGAACGUGAAAACUGUGUCUAAUAAAAUAUUUGUUAUCUAAGUCUCUUAACAUUAUUCGCAUUUAGUUGAUCCAUAAUUAUGAUUUUGUUAGACAAGUCAUUAUGCUCUUGGAGAUAAUUGCUAGGUUUCAAAAGUUUAGGUUGUCGCAUUGUUAGACAAGUCAUUAUACCUAAGUAGUGUUUGUCUGAUUGUCUGCGCCGUAUUCCGCUGCUGCCUAAUUUGUAUCAACAACACUUUCUUUUUUUUAUUAUGGGUUUUGCCUUUGGGCUAUCAUAGGCCUUUAUUUGUACUUGUUGCCCAUCUUCGGAUCUUUUAUGAAGUUUUCAUUUGACCAAAAAGAAGAAAAUUGUCACAGUGUAUGUCAAUAUAUUAAACUAACAAAAACAUUGUCUAACUAACAAAAACAUUGGCAUCAAUGACUAAUAUUAGUUAUAAUAUGAUAUUGCAACACUAAGCCGUCCUUUUAUUAGCAUUUUGUUUUCAAUUUUUUUCCAUUUGUUUGAAAAACUGAAAAUUGAAAACCAUUUUGGUAGUACUUCAAAUUAAAAUAAAAAAUAAAAAAUAAAAGUUGACAACCUAAAAGUGAAAGUACUUUUUUGACUUUCAAAACGUAGUUGUCAAAAUAUGGUUUCAAUUUUCAAUUUUCAAUUUAAAAAAAAUGAAAACUAAAAGCUGAAAUAGUUUUCAAGCUUAGUUUAGAAAACUUUCUUCAAGUGUGCCAUGUAUGUGGUUGAUCUGAUCAAUAUGCAGAACUAGGUUCCCAAUUGAUGAUGUGUCUAGCAAUUUGGCUUAGGGAGUUUAAGCAUGUCUCCAAGCCAAUACAUGACUAUCUUUCAAGCUCAGUUGCAGUUGGUAAUGCUCCUGCCGAGAAAUCCUGUGCAUUCAGGCGGAAUCAGGCAAGCGUUUUCGGAGAUAACCAAUAGGCCUAAGCAAUCCAAAAUUAAAAUGACGAAGAACAGAGUAAAACACAUAGAACAUGGAGGAUGCCUUAAAAACAAGGCAAACAAGUAGGCCAAACAUUCAAGUUUUUAAUCAACUGUGAAAAUUUACAUGUUAAUUAAGAACUACAUAAAGAUUUGUGUGUAUAAUCUGAUGACAAUUGCACCAUCUCUACUUGAAGAGCAUGAGCUUGUGCUUGUGCUUCUCUUCCAGGUGAAGGGAUGUCUUCGGGGUCUCGUUUCGGUUUAACCCAUCUCCCAUGAACGUUUCUUACUAACCCCUUGUGUGGCAAUUGGUACCAACAUUGUGGGAUUCUGAGAUCAUCCACCAACAUGUCACAUCCCUUGUUCACCAAGGUAAUAUCCCUUCUAGCAUUUGACCUAAAAGUAGUUUCUGUACUCAAAAACCCAUCCACAAGAUGAAGGUAGGUCUCGAGGCUAUGAAAGCCAGGCAGAUUGAACCCACCAUGCUUGAGAUAAGGCGAAGAACCAAUUUCGAGCUUCAAUUCAGCUCCAACAUGUGCGUAAACCCAAUCCAAAGUGCCCGUAAUGUCAUCAAACUUUUGAAGACUCUCAUUCAAAACAAGCCCUGGCAUUUUCGGAACCAUGUCUUGUUUAACCACAACCCUCAAUGUCUUGACUCCCAUUUGGUGUAGCUCUUCCUUGAAGGCAAUGUUUCCAACCCUAGGGGCGCCAAAGGAAAUUACGCUUAUCAUAAUGCCAGGGAGUUUUUCGGCAGCUUCAUAGGCAUUGAGCAAAGCCAAUGCACCUCCCAAGCUAUGCCCUGUGAUUGUUAGGCUCACUUCUUCACCUUUUGCUUGGUACAACUCCACAAGCCUAGUCACUUCUUUCAUGACUUGCUCUGAUGCACUAGACUUGUUGUACCUUGUGGUGUCACUCUUGGCAGUGUAAAUCCCAUGGAAACCAUGUUCCACUUUGGCAUCUCCACUCCCAAUUGGCUCCAAUUUCCUUUGCAUAUCCUCAUACCACUCUGAUGGCACCACGGUCCCCCGCCACGCCACCACAAUGUCCCUCCUCCCAAUCCUCCUAGUCUCCUCAUCAUCGCUCACAGCAACAUACCCCAUCCAGUUAGAAUGCUUGCUCCAUGUGUCAGCCAAGUGUGACCUCUCCAGCCACUGUGGCAUGUCGAUGUGUGACAUUGCAUAAAUGUACUUGCUAACAUUGUAGCCAUUUUUGUCUAGACCCAACACAUCAAAGAGCUUGUUUUUGUUGUACCUGCAGCUCCCGCAGUACUCGGAGAAGGAAUCGAAAUCGAAAGCGUCAUACGUUGCUUGUGCAAACUCACCAUAUUUGACAAUCUCUCUUCUUAGCCAAGGGUGGAGAGGGUCCAAAAGACCCUCCCAAUCAUUUGACCCGUGGAUUUCGCGCCAUUUUUCGGACAUGAUGUCUUUCGGAGAAGUCGUGGGAGUUGAAUGCAUCUCUUCUAUGAGCAGAUUCCAAUUAUUAGGGUUAAUGUUGGUUCUUUGAGGAAUAUCUAUGUGGAGGUGAAGGAGGUUGGCAACGGAUUUAGCUAGACGGUUGACUUUGUUUGAUGUCUUGGUUUGAUGGGGAUGAUCAAAAUCAGCUUCUUGAUGAUGACUAGCUCGGAUUUGGGAAAACCGGGUUGCGCUGGGAGUGGCUUGAGCGGCCGGAAGAUGGGUGUACAUCAUAGUUGAUAGCUCUAUGGUUGCCUUAUCUGUUGAUGCUGCUCAAAUUUCUAAACACACUGCCGGAAAAUAGGACUCUAGUAGUAGAUGUAUUACGAUUGAGUGUUCUACCACUUAAGCUAUAAGCACCGACGAGUUGAAAAUAGAGCUCAAUUAGAAGAUGGAGGAAUUGAGUUUAGAAAUGAGAGAAUGAGGAAAAGACGGUGAACUAUAUACAAGCAACAAUGAAUGUGUCACGCGCGGGACAUUGACUACAACAUUGGAAAAAAAUGUUCAUUUGUUUGAUUGACCAUUGGUAUUUUAUUUAGACUUGUUCUUGUUGAUUGAGACAAAUCUCCAAACCUCUUCAAGUUUAACCUUGCUCAACGGGAAAUUAUCAAGAUUGUCACUCCCAAAACGAUGAAGUGGCAUUUGGUAAUUGCUUGAAAUAAGGAGGGUAAUAUAUAUGCAGAUCAUGUAGACUUCAAAUUUAGGGACAACAUUAUUAAACAAAUUAUAAACAAAAUUAGGUACGGGGAAAUAUACGUAAGGACCAUUUUGGACGUUCAACACGUAUGGUGGAAUCAGUUCUCAGUUUUCACACUUCCUUUGCACCCCUAAACACGCGAAUUCUUGUUAAAAGCAUUCUAAAGUGGAGGCCACUAUAACUACAAUUUAGUGAUAUAUUUUUACAUAUUAAAGUGGAAGCGCCAUGUUAAAUUUUAGUUGUCUCAUAUAUAGAUGACAAGCUUGAUAUCUAUAGCUAGCUGUGAUUGGUCUAUUAGAUGACCUAACCCAAAUUAGCUGUGAUUGGUUUAUUAAACAAAGUAAAAUCAAAAUUAGGUACGGGGAAAUAUACGUAAGGACCAUUUUGGACGUUCAACACGUAUGGUGAAAUCAGUUCUCAGUUUCACACUUCCUUUGCACCCCUAAAUACGCGAAUUCUUGUUAAAAACAUUCUAAAGUGGAGGUGCCAUGUCAAAUAAGACGAUAUAACUACAAUUUAGUGAUAUGUUUUUAUAUAUUAAAGUGGAGGCAUCAUGUUAAAUUUUAGUUGUCUCAUAUAUAGAUGAUAAGUUUGAUAUCUAUAGCUAGCUAUGAUUGGUUUAUUAGAUGACCUAACCCAAAUAACAAAAAUAAAAAGAAAAAUUUUAUUCCGACCCAUUUAUUAUUUUUUUUGCCGCCAUCUUAUCAUUUUUUUAUCUUAAAAUUAUGUAUGUGCCCAACAAUUUCCUUUCUACACCCAAAAUAAAAAAGAAUAAAAAAUAAAAAAUAAAAUUCCAACACUAGGAAACUCUGAGCACCUCAUCUCUCCAAACCCCAUUGACGUCCAAUUUCUACCCCUCUCCACCACCUCCCCUACCACCCACAAUGAAAACUCAAAAGUCUCAGCCACACAACAACUGCUUCCACGCAGUCCUAACAUGUACGGAAUCUGUUGAAAUUGUCGACUAGUCGAAUUUAUUUGUAUUAGACCAUUGAUUGUACAAUAUAUGUGUAGAAUCACAAUUUUAAAAUUAUCAUUAAUUAAAAAAAUAAAAAAAAUGGUCAUGACUUUCUUUUGGGUCUUUUUAAAGCUGGGUUGUUAGGGGAUAAGGAUUGUUGUGGAUGGUAAGGGAGGUGGCGGUGGGGGUUUGGUGGAGGUAGAAAUUGGGGUAGUUGGAGUUUGGAGAGAUGGAGUGCCAAAGUUGCCUAUAGCUAGAUUAAUUUUUAGGAAAACUAAUGAAAAAGGCUUGAAAACUUUGAGUUUUAACAAUAAGGACAAAAUAAAUGGUAAAGUGAAUAGUAUCAAGAUUGAUUUUGUAAUGUAAAAAUGUGGUUUUUCGUUAAAGUGAACAGUACCGGGAACUUUUCGUUAAAGUUCCCUUAAUUUUUUUGUUUUGUUGUUCUUGUUUGGUUUAGAAAGAGAAUUGUUUGACACAUUCGGAAUUCAAGAUAAAAAAUAAUAAAUUGAGUGUAAAAAGAAAUCAAAUGAAUAUAAAUAAAAUUUCCUAUAUCAAAAUUGUUCCUGUACCAAUAUAAAGUCAUGACGCACUCCUCUUCCUCAUAUUAUUUCACUAUUGAGGAAUACAUGAUACUUUUUGGGAGUGUAAAUAGGGCUGGAAAAAAAUCCCAAAAAUCCCAAACCAAACCGAAAAAAUCCCGAACCCAAACCGAAAAAUCCCAAACCAAAAUUAUCCUGAAAAUCGGUAAUCCCAUCCUGAAAAAUACCGAAAUAAUCGGUAUGGGAUUGGUUUCCAAAUCCCAUUUUUUCGGUAUUCCCGAAAUCCCGAAAUGUUUUUUUUCUUUAGCUUUCGGUUCCCACUUCCUAAGUCAAAAGCAGGAGCCUUUUGGCUUCCACUCACAGAAGGCACCAAAAUAUUAUUAAAAAAUUGGGAAAGGUACAAAUUGGCUCACAGAAGGCACCAAAAUAUUAUUAAAAAAUUGGGAAAGGCACAAAUUGGCUUUGUGUUUCGAUUCAGACUUCCCACCUCAAAAGCAGGAGCCUUUUGGCUCCCACUAACAGAAGGCGCAGAGAGCAGCACUUGAAGCAGAGAGCAUCACUCAUGGGGCAGAGAACAUCACUCUUCAUGUUGAGAAGCAGAGAGGAGAAGAGAGAGGAAGGAGUUACUGCCGAAAGCUCUUGAGUUUGGUUUUGACAGCAGCACUCUUCGUGUUGAGAAGCAGAGAGGGCAAAGAGCUACUGCCGAAAGCUCUCUCAAAUCUUCGAAGCUCGACCCAUAUCUUUCUCUUUCCUCUCUGAAGCUUUCUCUGAAUUAGGGUUCGAAUGAGGAUUUAUAAAUUAGGAAUUUACGAUUUAGAGCUUUUGAUUGUUUUGAUUUGGAUUUGGAUUUCUUGAUUAAUUUUCUGGGGAUUUCUGGAUUAAUUUUAUGUGGAUUUGGUUGAUUUGGAUUUUUGGAUUUCCAUGGUCAAUUUCUCCUUUGCAUGUUCGAUUUCUUUUCUGCUUUGCAUGCUCAAUAUGCAGGUUUGAAUCUUUUCUUCUUUGCAUGCUCGAUCUGCAGGUUUGAAUCUUUUCUGCUUUGCAUGCUCGAUCUGCAGGUUUGAAUUGAAUUGAAUUGAAUUUAUCAGCUUCUUCCAUUAACAAGAAGCCAAAUUUUUUUUGAAUUGAAAACCGAAACCGUACCGAAAUCCCGAAAAUAUUUCGGGAAUCCCGAAAUUCGGGAAUACCGAAAUUUUGGUUUGGGAUCGGGAUUCGGAUUUUCAUCCCAAAAAGGAUCGGUUUGGGAUUCGGGAUCCCAUUUUUGGGACGGGAUCCCAUACCGAUCCAGCCCUAAGUGUAAAUACAAAAGCACUAGUUUGCUUCUGAUAAAAAAAAUAACCUUAAUUUAAUAAAAAGAAAUAAAUUUGAAAACUCAUGGACCUAAUUGUUAGUUUCUGUUAUUGCAGCCAGCAAUAAAAGUUAAUUUGCGAGAUCCCUUUUUUUUUCUAUAGUUUGAUUUUUUAAGUGUUUCUCGCUAUGGUUUACAAAUGUAUAGCCAAACGAAUAAAACAAGAAAGCAAAAAGCGAUUUGGCCAAAAAAUAAAUUGACAGUAAAUUAGUAAAGCAUUACAAAUUUGAUCCAGGCCAUACCCUAAUUUCCCGAUCAUACUUAAUCCAACUACCAGUGUAUAACAAGCAAUAAGAACAAAGUAGAAAUAUUUUUUAUUUCCGACCAACUUAAUCCAAUUUAAUCCAACUAGUAGAGUUUAAUAGGCGAUAACACAAAAGUAUACCGGAAAUUUUUUAUUUCGGUAUAAUAGUCCAUGCAAGUGCUUCCAAUCAACCAUACAACUUAAUUUAUAGGAUCGAAAUUUGAUAUUUCUUUGUAAUAAAUAGGGAGUAUGUCCUUCGGCUCAUCCCAUCCACCAGUCAUUAUUAGGGUUAAGAAACAAAACCAGCUCUUUGUAUGCAUGCUGCAAGUCCGUCCAACGACUGAAGGAUGAGGCUUGAAUCCCAGCAAAAUUAAUAAGAACUUAGCUGGCUCGAAAGUCAAGGAAUCGAAGCAGUUUUGGAGAAUGCUUAAAAAACAAGGUAAACAAGUAGGCCAAACAUUCAAGUUCUUAAUCAACUGUCAAAAUUUACAUGUUAAUUAAGCACUACAUAAAGAUUCAAGUAUAUAAUCUGAUGAUGGUUGCAUCAUCUCUAAUUGAAGAGCAUGAGCUUGCGCUUGUGCUUCUCUUGUAGGUGAAGGUAUGUCUUCAGGGUCUCGUUUCGGUUUAACCCAUCUCCCAUGAGCGUUUCUUACUAACCCCUUGUGUGGCAAUUGGUACCAGCAUUGCGGAAUUCUAAGAUCAUCCACCAACAUGUCACAUCCCUUGUUCACCAAGGCAAUAUCCCUCCUAGCAUUUGACCUAAAAGUAGUGUCUGUACUAAAAAACCCAUCCACAAGAUGGAGGUAGGUCUCGAGGCUAUGAAACCCUUGCAGAUUGAACCCGCCACGCUUGAGAUAAGGCGAAAAACCAACUUCGAGCUUCAAUUCAGCCCCAACAUGUGUGUAAACCCAAUCCAAUGUGCCCGUAAUGUCAUCAAACUUCUUAAGACUCUCAUUCAAAACAAGCCCCGGCAUUUUCGGAACCAUGUCUUGUUUAACCACAACCCUCAAUGUAUUGACUCCCAUUUGGUGUAGCUCUUCCUUGAAGGCAAUGUUUCCAACCCUGGGGGCGCCAAAGGAAAUUACGCUUAUCGGAAGGCCAGGGAGUUUUUCGGCAGCUUCGUAGGCAUUGAGCAAAGCCAAUGCACCUCCCAAGCUAUGCCCUGUGAUUGUAAGGCUCACUUCUUCACCUUUUGCUUGGUACAACUCCACAAGCCUAGUCACUUCUUUCAUGACUUGCUCUGAUGCACUAGACCUGUUGUACCUUGUGGUGUCACUCUUGGCAGUGUAAAUCCCAUGGAACCCAUGUUCCACUUUGGCAUCUCCACCUCCAAUUGGCUCCAAUUUCCUUUGCAUAUCCUCAUACCACUCCGAUGGCACCACGGUCCCCCGCCACGCCACCACUAUGUCCCUCCUCCCAAUCCUCCUAGUCUCCUCAUCAUCGCUCACGGCAACAUACCCCAUCCAGUUGGAAUGCUUGCUCCAUGUGUCAGCCAAGUGUGACCUCUCCAGCCACUGCGGCAUGUCGAUGUGUGACAUUGCAUAAAUGUACUUGCUAACAUUGUAGCCAUUUUUGUCUAAACCCAACACAUCAAAGAGCUUGCUUUUGUUGUACCUGCAGCUCCCGCAGUACUCGGAGAAGGAAUCGAAAUCGAAAGCGUCAUACGUUGCUUGUGCAAACUCACCAUAUUUGACAAUCUCUCUUCUCAGCCAAGGGUGGAGAGGGUCCAAAAGACCCUCCCAAUCAUUUGACCCGUGGAUUUCGCGCCAUUUUUCGGAUAUGAUGUCUUUCGGAGAAGUAGUAGGAGUUGAAUGGUUCUCUUCUGUGAUCAUAUUCCAAUUAGCAGGGUGAAUGUUGGUUCUUUGAGGAGUAUCUAUGUGGAGGUGAAGGAGGUUGGCUAGGGAUUCAGCUAGACGGUUGGCUUUGUUUGAUGUCCUGGUUUGAUGGGGAUGAUCAAGAACAGCUUCUUGAUGAUGGCUAGCUUGGAUUAGGGAAAACCGGGUUCCAUGGGCAGCGGCUUGAGUGGCCGG
rnacentral:lncRNA from 1 species